GACGAACGCUGGCGGCGUGCUUAACACAUGCAAGUCGAACGGAAAGGCCCUGCUUUUGUGGGGUGCUCGAGUGGCGAACGGGUGAGUAACACGUGAGUAACCUGCCCUUGACUUUGGGAUAACUUCAGGAAACUGGGGCUAAUCCCGGAUAGGAGCUCCUGCUGCAUGGUGGGGGUUGGAAAGUUUCGGCGGGUGGGGAUGGACUCGCGGCUUAUCAGCUUGUUGGUGGGGUAGUGGCUUACCAAGGCUUUGACGGGUAGCCGGCCUGAGAGGGUGACCGGCCACAUUGGGACUGAGAUACGGCCCAGACUCCUACGGGAGGCAGCAGUGGGGAAUAUUGCACAAUGGGCGGAAGCCUGAUGCAGCAACGCCGCGUGCGGGAUGACGGCCUUCGGGUUGUAAACCGCUUUCGCCUGUGACGAAGCGUGAGUGACGGUAAUGGGUAAAGAAGCACCGGCUAACUACGUG
rnacentral:rRNA from 1 species